AUUUAACAUUUAACACUUCCUUAUAAUAAGACAAAUUUGAACAUUUUUUUUUAAAUUACAGUUCACAUUCCGAACAAUCAUGCGGAGCUUACAUUACGAAAUUAGUGUCAUGCAUGUUGAACUCAGUUUCACGAAAGUAGUUUCGAUAUAUACGAAAGUAAUUUCGUUAAAAAAUUAAUGUCGCGAAAUCCACAGUAUCGCAGUAACCACGGCGCCAUCAGCAUCAAAGCUAUAAUUUGCUAUAUUCAAUGUAGCUAAAGAAAUGCUUAAAUACCUAUAAACUUAAAAAAAGACUAUCAAGAAAAAAAAAGUUAGUAGAUUCGAGGAUGGUCAACAAGAAGGCAUUUAGGUGCAUUGAAGUUAGUCUCUGAAUUAGCAGAUGAAGAUCCUGAGAGUUAUAAAAACUAUUUCCGAAUGAGUAAAGAUAAUUUUGAUUUUAUACUGUAGAUGUUUCGGGACCCUUGUCAUUGAUAUUCAUUAAUAAGAUCUAUAUUUUUUUCUGUACUCCAUCGUUGGUUUGCCAUUUUCAACGCUCGAAGCGCGCGCGAGCUGACAAUACACACAUCGGGUGAAUGAAGUUAGCCCCUCAAAAAAAUUUUUUUUUCCUGUUUUCUACUUAUUUUCUAUUAAUUCGUUUGUUCAUCAUUUGUUCUUGAUUGUUCACUGUUAAUAAUUGUUUGUUCCCCAUUGAUUUAUUUUAAAAAAUAUAUUAAAAAUAUAUCUAAAAGUUAGCCCCUCGAUUGCAAUUUUUAAUAUUUUUUCGUCCUUAAUUACUCGUAAAUAUUCAUUUUCGAUUGUUCUUAUAUAAAAUACGUUUGUUCUCUUUCGAAAUUACUCAUUUUUUGUUUAAUUAAUUGUAUUAGUUGAAUAAAUGUAUACAAAAUAUGUGUACUGCGCACAUAGAGUUACUUGUAGGUACUUAUUAACUCCAUGACUGCGCAUGCCAUAAGUCUAUAAUCUAUGGCGCAUGCGUCAACUAUAAUGCCUAAACUUUCUACGCGGUUUUAAUCGUGAAAAAAAAACAAUUAUAAAUCCUGAAGGAUCGAUUAAUUGGUAUACAGUUUAAUUAAAAAAAUUAAAAAAUAAAUAAAUAAAAUAAUGUGCAUUCGCGUAAAGUUAGACCAAAUACAUUUUUUCCAUCCUCCUAUAUACCUAUCGCUAUGAAGGUAUAAAAAAGAUAGGUUAAGAGUUCACAUAGGUAAUUUAAACAAAUAAGUAAAUAUGUUCAUUAUUUAUCUUUCAAGAGAUAAUGUUAUGUAUUGAAAUUGUUGGAAAAUUAUUUCAUGUUUUAGCUGGAAAACUACAUGGAGAAUUAUAUGCAAUACAAGAUAAUGAGCUCCAUUAAAUGAAUUCGAAUGAAACCAAACUGUUUACCAUUCAAAUUCGAUUGUCGGGCAGAUAGAAAACGAAAAUUCACUCAUAGUGAACCUCGGCCUGCAUUUGUGAAACGGCAAAGACUCACUAUUAUCAACGAAAUUGAAGAGACGACUAAAAAUGAGAUGUGUCGUAUUAUUAUACCUUUGCCAUCUUGUAGUCAAGAUGUCCAGCCACUUGAAAAUAGGUGUAGUAAUGACAAAGCUAUCCAAGUAGCUCCAGCACAGGAACACAAAGGCAAGGCAAGUGUGUAUUGCCACAUCACCCCUUAAUAUAUCUGAAGCAAGUAUAAGUAACAAUCAGAACCAGCAAAAAAAAAAACUGUUGUUCCUGAGGACAAAUUUGACAGUGAUGAGUCAAAUGCACCAGCAACAGAAGGAUCAACUGUUGACUAUGGGUUAUAGAAGAAGAAGAUUAAUUCAUAUUUAUUUAAAUUAAUAUUAAUGAAUAUUAAUUUAAAUUAUCGUGCAAAAUUCGUGGUCAAAACAUGUGUAUUUUAUAAAUAAAUAUUCAUUCUCAGUA